ACGAACGCUGGCGGCACGCUUAACACAUGCAAGUCGAACGAGAGAAGAGAAGCUUGCUUUUCUGAUCUAGUGGCGGACGGGUGAGUAACACGUGAGCAAUCUGCCUUUCAGAGGGGGAUACCGAUUGGAAACGAUCGUUAAUACCGCAUAACAUAAUUGAACCGCAUGAUUUGAUUAUCAAAGAUUUAUCGCUGAAAGAUGAGCUCGCGUCUGAUUAGCUAGUUGGUAAGGUAACGGCUUACCAAGGCGACGAUCAGUAGCCGGACUGAGAGGUUGAUCGGCCACAUUGGGACUGAGACACGGCCCAGACUCCUACGGGAGGCAGCAGUGGGGAAUAUUGCACAAUGGAGGAAACUCUGAUGCAGCGAUGCCGCGUGAGGGAAGAAGGUUUUAGGAUUGUAAACCUCUGUCUUCAGGGACGAAAAAAGACGGUACCUGAGGAGGAAGCUCCGGCUAACUACGUGCCAGCAGCCGCGGUAAUACGUAGGGAGCGAGCGUUGUCCGGAAUUACUGGGUGUAAAGGGAGCGUAGGCGGGAUCGCAAGUCAGAUGUGAAAACUAUGGGCUUAACCCAUAAACUGCAUUUGAAACUGUGGUUCUUGAGUGAAGUAGAGGUAAGCGGAAUUCCUAGUGUAGCGGUGAAAUGCGUAGAUAUUAGGAGGAACAUCAGUGGCGAAGGCGGCUUACUGGGCUUUAACUGACGCUGAGGCUCGAAAGCGUGGGGAGCAAACAGGAUUAGAUACCCUGGUAGUCCACGCCGUAAACGAUGAUUACUAGGUGUGGGGGGACUGACCCCUUCCGUGCCGCAGCAAACGCAAUAAGUAAUCCACCUGGGGAGUACGACCGCAAGGUUGAAACUCAAAGGAAUUGACGGGGGCCCGCACAAGCAGUGGAGUAUGUGGAUUAAUUCGAAGCAACGCGAAGAACCUUACCAGGUCUUGACAUCGUAUGCAUAGCUCAGAGAUGAGUGAAAUCUCUUCGGAGACAUAUAGACAGGUGGUGCAUGGUUGUCGUCAGCUCGUGUCGUGAGAUGUUGGGUUAAGUCCCGCAACGAGCGCAACCCUUACUGUUAGUUGCUACGCAAGAGCACUCUAGCAGGACUGCCGUUGACAAAACGGAGGAAGGUGGGGAUGACGUCAAAUCAUCAUGCCCCUUAUGACCUGGGCCUCACACGUACUACAAUGGCUGUCAACAGAGGGAUGCAAAGCCGCGAGGUGGAGCGAACCCCUAAAAGCAGUCUUAGUUCGGAUUGUAGGCUGCAACCCGCCUACAUGAAGUCGGAAUUGCUAGUAAUCGCAGAUCAGCAUGCUGCGGUGAAUACGUUCCCGGGCCUUGUACACACCGCCCGACACGCCAUGGGAGUCGGUAACACCCGAAGCCUGUAGUCUAACCGCAAGGAGGACGCAGUCGAAGGUGGGAUUGAUGACUGGGGUG
rnacentral:rRNA from 1 species